rnacentral:rRNA from 1 species
CAGCAGUGGGGAAUAUUGGACAAUGGGGGGAACCCUGAUCCAGCCAUGCCGCGUGUGUGAAGAAGGCCUUUUGGUUGUAAAGCACUUUAAGCGAGGAGGAGGCUACCUAGAUUAAUACUUUAGGAUAGUGGACGUUACUCGCAGAAUAAGCACCGGCUAACUCUGUGCCAGCAGCCGCGGUAAUACAGAGGGUGCGAGCGUUAAUCGGAUUUACUGGGCGUAAAGCGUGCGUAGGCGGCCAAUUAAGUCAAAUGUGAAAUCCCCGAGCUUAACUUGGGAAUUGCAUUCGAUACUGGUUGGCUAGAGUAUGGGAGAGGAUGGUAGAAUUCCAGGUGUAGCGGUGAAAUGCGUAGAGAUCUGGAGGAAUACCGAUGGCGAAGGCAGCCAUCUGGCCUAAUACUGACGCUGAGGUACGAAAGCAUGGGGAGCAAACAGGAUUAGA